rnacentral:rRNA from 1 species
GUGGCGAAGGCGACUUACUGGACUGUAACUGACGCUGAGUCACGAAAGCGUGGGUAGCAAACAGGAUUAGAUACCCUGGUAGUCCACGCUGUAAACGAUGGGUGCUAGGUGUUGGGUAGCGAUAUUCAGUGCCGAAGUAAACACAAUAAGCACUCCGCCUGGGGAGUACGGUCGCAAGACUGAAACUCAAAGGAAUUGACGGGGACCCGCACAAGCAGCGGAGCAUGUGGUUUAAUUCGAAGCAACGCGAAGAACCUUACCAAGGCUUGACAUCCCCUUGACCGGCACAGAGAUGUGCCCUCUCCUUCGGGAGCAAGGGUGACGGGUGGUGCAUGGUUGUCGUCAGCUCGUGUCGUGAGAUGUUGGGUUAAGUCCCGCAACGAGCGCAACCCUUAUCCUUAGUUGCCAGCAGGUAAAGCUGGGCACUCUAAGGAGACUGCCGAUGAUAAAUCGGAGGAAGGUGGGGA